rnacentral:rRNA from 1 species
UACGUAGGGUGCGAGCGUUGUCCGGAAUUAUUGGGCGUAAAGAGCUCGUAGGCGGUGUGUCACGUCGGCCGUGAAAACCUGCAGCUUAACUGUGGGCGUGCGGUCGAUACGGGCAUCACUGGAGUUCGGCAGGGGAGACUGGAAUUCCUGGUGUAGCGGUGAAAUGCGCAGAUAUCAGGAGGAACACCGGUGGCGAAGGCGGGUCUCUGGGCCGAUACUGACGCUGAGGAGCGAAAGCGUGGGGGAGCAAACAGGG